GUGUGUUUCAGUGAUGUCCACCAUGGCUUACCCUCAUGACGAGGCUCUAGAGUGGAUGAUGCAGGAUGAUAUCAUGCUGACUACAACACUAAAGAGGUGACGCAGUGUUUGGAGACGCUGCGAGGGGAACACGCUCAACUCCUCAACAACAUUCUGGACUGCAGUCAACCAAGCGGAGUGCAGGAGAAAUCCAGACUGCUGCUGGAGGACCUGGAGGAUAUUGAGCUGGGCCUGGGAGAAGCACAGGGGAAACAGGAGGGUAGGAGAAAUCCAGACUGCUGCUGGAGACCCUGGAGGACAUUGAGCUCAGCCAGGGAGAAACACAGGUGAUCAUCACUUUGUAUGGUGAACCAGUUGCUGCGGUAAAAGCUGGACAACACCCAACACAAACUGCAGAAGAGCAAACAGAACAUCGCUCGGCUUUAAAAGGAGAAGCACCUGGAGUUCAUGAACCAGAUUGCGCUGAUUUAUCGGGCUGAACAUCAGUUUCUAAUUCAUCUGGACAAAACCUUCAUCUCCUCCCUGUGUGUCAGUCUUGGCUGACAUUGUUGAUUCAGAUCAGUGGGUUUAGCUAGCGCUGUCAGGCUGUAGAGAUGGAGGCUCAGAG